rnacentral:rRNA from 1 species
GACGAACGCUGGCGGCGUGCCUAAUACAUGCAAGUUGAGCGCUGAAGGUUGGUACUUGUACCAACUGGAUGAGCAGCGAACGGGUGAGUAACGCGUGGGGAAUCUGCCUUUGAGCGGGGGACAACAUUUGGAAACGAAUGCUAAUACCGCAUAAAAACUUUAAACGCAAGUUUUAAGUUUGAAAGAUGCAAUUGCAUCACUCAAAGAUGAUCCCGCGUUGUAUUAGCUAGUUGGUGAGGUAAAGGCUCACCAAGGCGAUGAUACAUAGCCGACCUGAGAGGGUGAACGGCCAAAAUGGGACUGAGACACGGCCCAAACUCCUACGGGAGGCAGCAGUAGGGAAUCUUCGGCAAUGGAGGAAAGGCUGACCGAGCAACGCCGCGUGAGUGAAGAAGGUUUUCGGAUCGUAAAACUCUGUUGGUAGAGAAGAACGUUGGUGAGAGUGGAAAGCUCAUCAAGUGACGGUAACUACCCAGAAAGGGACGGCUAACUACGUG